rnacentral:rRNA from 1 species
CCUACGGGAGGCAGCAGUGAGGAAUAUUGGUCAAUGGACGAGAGUCUGAACCAGCCAAGUAGCGUGAAGGAUGACUGCCCUAUGGGUUGUAAACUUCUUUUAUAUGGGAAUAAAACGUUCCACGUGUGGGAUUUUGUAUGUACCAUAUGAAUAAGGAUCGGCUAACUCCGUGCCAGCAGCCGCGGUAAUACGGAGGAUCCGAGCGUUAUCCGGAUUUAUUGGGUUUAAAGGGAGCGUAGGUUGAUUGUUAAGUCAGUUGUGAAAGUUUGCGGCUCAACCGUAAAAUUGCAGUUGAAACUGGCAGUCUUGAGUACAGUAGAGGUGGGCGGAAUGCGUGGUGUAGCGGUGAAAUGCUUAGAUAUCACGAAGAACUCCGAUUGCGAAGGCAGUUCACUAGACUGCAACUGACACUGAGGCUCGAAAGUGUGGGUAUCAAACAGGAUUAGAUACCCUUGUAGUC